GUGUGUGUGUGUGUGUGUGUGCGUGCGCGCGUUCAGGCCUUUUGCUUCUGUGUACGUGUGUGUUCAGGCAUUUUGCGUUUGGUUGUAUUUGUGUGCGUGCGUUCAGGCAUUUUGCGUCUGGUUGUGUGCGCAUUCAGACAUUUUGCUUCUGGUUGUGUGUGCACUCGUGUUCAGGCAUUUUGCUUCUUGUUGUGUGUGUGUGUGUGCGUGCGUGCGCGUUCAGUCAUUUUGUUUCUGGUUGUACGCGCGCACUCAGGCAUUUUGCUUCUGGUUGUGUGUGCGCGCACGCUUAGGCAUUUUUCUUCUGGUUGUGUGUGCGCACGCGCGUUCAGGCAUUUUGCUUCUGGUUGUGUGUCUGCGCAUGUUCAGGCAUUUUGCUUCUGGUUGUGUGUGCGCGUGUUCAGGCAAAAUGCACAUCUAACCAAGCUUGCAAAGUCAGGUUACCUCUAUUAAAAAAGACUGCUCUAAUAGCAAGUCCUGUAGAUGCCCAACUAGAACACGCACCGUGUUCUCAUCCAACACUAGAGACUUGGUCUUUUUUAUAUAAUGCAUUAUUGUGGUCCAGAUGUGAUGAAUAAAACAAUUUAAAAAAGGAAAAUUAGGCCCUC
rnacentral:lncRNA from 1 species